rnacentral:rRNA from 1 species
UACAGAGGUCUCAAGCGUUGUUCGGAUUCAUUGGGCGUAAAGGGGGUGUAGGUGGCGCCGUAAGUCGGGUGUGAAAUUUCGGAGCUUAACUCCGAAACUGCAUUCGAUACUGCGGUGCUUGAGGACUGGAGAGGAGACUGGAAUUCAUGGUGUAGCAGUGAAAUGCGUAGAGAUCAUGAGGAAGACCAGUGGCGAAGGCGGGUCUCUGGGCAGUUCCUGACGCUGAGGCACGAAGGCCAGGGGAGCAAACGGG